ACAAAACAAGAGAAGGUUAUA
rnacentral:snRNA from 1 species